GCCCUCGUGUUGAAAUUGGAUAUCAUUUCUGCCUUCGAAGCAGACAUUCCUGGUUCGAGUCCAGGCGAGGGCA
rnacentral:tRNA from 1 species